rnacentral:rRNA from 1 species
UACGGAGGGAGCUAGCGUUGUUCGGAAUUACUGGGCGUAAAGGGCGCGUAGGCGGCCUGUUAAGUCGAACGUGAAAUCCCCGGGCUCAACCCGGGAACUGCGUCCGAUACUGGCAGGCUUGAAUCCGGGAGAGGGAUGUGGAAUUCCAGGUGUAGCGGUGAAAAUGCGUAGAUAUCUGGAGGAACACCGGUGGCGAAGGCGGCAUCCUGGACCGGUAUUGACGCUGAGGCGCGGAAAAGCCAGGGGGAGCAA